rnacentral:lncRNA from 1 species
GUAUGGCCUCAUUACUUCUAGCCUCCAACUCUUCACUGACUUUCUGUACUGAAGGUAGUGAAAUCAAGAAAGUCUUUGUAAUACUUACGGAAAAAAAAAUAAAAAAGAACAUGAACAAGACAAGGAUUACACAAAAGGGCAUAAGUCCAAGAAGUAUUGAGGAUUUUAUGUGCCAUACCAGGAAGGACCAUACUUUUAUGCACAGAAGUGAACAUAUUGACUUUCAUAAUCCCUGUUAUGAGGGAUUAUGA